UUAAUUGUUCCGCCGUAUUGUUUUAUAAACAGACGGAUUGUAAAUCAGUGUUUAUUUUGAUUCGAGCUCAGUUUUUUCCGUCGUUCGCUUAUAUAUUCACUUAGUUCCAGUUGCUCUUUUCAUUAGCGUUUUGUCUUUGAAUCAAAAUGAAGUUUCUAGCUGUCGUCUUUAUGUUCGCGUUUGUGGCUGUACAGUUCAGCCGCUCUGCUCCAGCUCCUGAUGAAGAAAAAAAGGAAGAAGUGGUCGCCGCCCCCGCCCAGGCACCAGCUGAGCCCGCACAACCAGCUGCAGAGGCAAAAUCCAGCGCCGACCCCGCACCCGCCCCUGCAGGAGCAGCACCAGCUGAACAGAAGAAAGAUUGAUCUUAUACGCCAUUAUUUUACACAAAUUAAGUAUAUUAUGUAAUACUUUUGUUAAUAAAGCCGUAGACAGAAUUAUUGGAUAGCAUUCCUCAAUAAAACACGACUAAGCAGGUUUUGUUUUUUUAUUCGACUUCCUUCACAACUAUAUUCAUAUAUAAUUGUUAUUUUAGCUAAAAAGAACAUAUGAAACUGUCUUAAGGUAAAAGGGCCCUUUUAUCUUAACAAUACAUAGGUAUAAAAAUACCCCUUUACACAGAAUUUUAGUCAAUCUUGAACGUUCCAGUCUGUGACCUGUGUUAAUACUUAAACAUUGACAUUGUCAAAAUCUUUACUGACAAUUGACACAUAAAGCCCGUUAGGUAGGUACUGACUACUGCUUAAGUUUUGCAUCGUCAAAGUGAACAUGAGGUUUCUAAUUUUUCAUUCAUAAAUUUUUGAACAUGAUAGUAUCAAGACAUGUCAUUUCAUU